UGAGGAAUAUCGCACAAUGGGCGCAAGCCUGAUGCAGCAACGCCGCGUGAGGGACGAAGGCCUUCGGGUCGUAAACCUCUUUUCUGAGGGACGAGUAAGGACGGUACCUCAGGAAUAAGUCUCGGCUAACUACGUGCCAGCAGCCGCGGUAAAACGUAGGAGGCGAGCGUUAUCCGGAUUUACUGGGCGUAAAGCGUACGCAGGUGGCUUCGUGAGUCGGACAUGAAAGCUCCUGGCUUAACUGGGAGAGGUUGUUCGAUACUGCGGGGCUUGAGGUUGGGAGAGGGGCGUGGAAUUCCCGGUGUAGUGGUGGAAUGCGUAGAUAUCGGGAGGAACACCAGUGGCGCAAGCGGCGUCCUGGCCCACACCUGACGCUGAGGUACGAAGGCGUGGGUAGCAAACAG
rnacentral:rRNA from 1 species